UUUCCUUCAAAUCCCUAAUCCCUCUCUCCCUCUCCCACUCUCCCCCUCCCUCUCUCCCCACCGUAAAGAAGAGGGGAGAAACAGUUAUUGAACGACGUCGUAAUGGAAGCACAUGGCGUCGGACUCCGGCGAGUGUUAGUGUUGGCAUUUUGCGUGGUCGGCAUUUGGUCGGCCUAUAUUUACCAGGGCGUUGUUCAGGAAACUCUGUAUGAAGGAUGAGGUUGAUACAAAAUCUCAGACAGUCUAGGCUGAGCCAAAAGUGGAAGACAAGGAAGUAGCUACUCCAGAGGAUGCUGAAGCACUAUAUGAAAUGGAAACAGAAAAGAAGAGCCACUUGAAUUUUGUGUUUAUUGUUCAUGGUGGUAGGUAUUACUACUUCAUGGUUUUGUUUAUGUGAAAAUUAGCUUGCAUUACAUAUUAAUGUCCAUUAUGAACAGGAUGUGCUAAGCUAGGGAAACAGUUAAAAAUUAUACUAUUAACCUCUCAAGCCCCUUAUUUAUUAUGCAUUUUUGUGAGCUCAAUUAUGUGUAUCAGCCACUUGCAUGAGUGCUGUGAAAAGCAGUUAUAAAUUUAAUUAUUACUAGGACCUCCUGGUUAGAAUUGAAAUUUGAGCUUGGGUAUAGAGAAUGCUACUUUUUCUUUUUGGAUAAUUCAAUGUUACCUUGAAGCUAUUGAUUGUAACCUUAAAAAGAGAGUUUUUAGUCUCAAGUUGAAACUGCUUAUGGUGAAUUAGAAGAAUAAGUAAUAAACGAGGUUUUUACUUUGCCAAAUUCACUACCUGAUCAAUAACGAGAAUGCCUUACAGUCACAGGAUUUUCGGUAAUUGCAUUAUCUGACUUAACUAUUUUCCAUAUGUUAAGUAUAUGGCAUAUAUUAUGGACACUAAUGAAGAGGACAGGGUUAAGGUAUUGUAUAAUAGGGAAAUGCUGUUACAUAAACUUUGAGAAUAUGUGUUGGAAGGGAAGGAAACAUUCACAUGUUCUGUAGGUAUUUUUAGUAUUGUAUAUUAGA